rnacentral:rRNA from 1 species
CCGGUGACAAACCGGAGGAAGGUGGGGAUGACGUCAAGUCAUCAUGGCCCUUACGGCCUGGGCUACACACGUGCUACAAUGGUCGGUACAGAGGGUUGCCAAGCCGCGAGGUGGAGCUAAUCCCACAAAACCGAUCGUAGUCCGGAUCGCAGUCUGCAACUCGACUGCGUGAAGUCGGAAUCGCUAGUAAUCGCGAAUCAGAAUGUCGCGGUGAAUACGUUCCCGGGCCUUGUACACACCGCCCGUCACACCAUGGGAGUGGGUUGCACCAGAAGUAGCUAGUCUAACCUUCGGGGGGACGGUUACCACGGUGUGAUUCAUGACUGGGGUGAAGUCGUAACAAGGUAGCCGUAGGGGAACCUGCGGCUGGAUCACC